GGGGGUGCCCUGGAUUCGACUGGCGGAUUGUAGUUUAAUGGGCUGCAAGUAGAGCGACUAACUCUUAAAACUGGUCAAAAAUAUAAAUGCUAAAAAAGAAGACGAAAUUAUCAUCGCUUUAGGUGAUAACGAAUCAUUAGCACUAGCAGCAUAGUCUGCUACGGGAAGAUUUAGUCGCUAUUCCUAGGCUUUUUCAACCUGUAAGAAAUAGGAAUGUACUUUGUAUAAUUGUCUAAGUUAUACUUAGGAAAAUCAAUUAGACUGUGGUUAAAGAACGGUUGCCUUCUCCUGUAACUUUAUCCAAGAUCAACUGAGAGGACUAAACUUGUAGAGGUUUAUUAGACACCCGUUAGGACGAGGGUUCGAUUCCCUCCACCUCCAUCC
rnacentral:tmRNA from 1 species